rnacentral:rRNA from 2 species
GAUAUGAGCCUCCACUGCAUGGUGGGGGUUGGAAAGGUUUACUGGUGCAGGAUGGGCCCGCGGCCUAUCAGCUUGUUGGUGGGGUAAUGGCCUACCAAGGCGACGACGGGUAGCCGACCUGAGAGGGUGACCGGCCACACUGGGACUGAGACACGGCCCAGACUCCUACGGGAGGCAGCAGUGGGGAAUAUUGCACAAUGGGCGAAAGCCUGAUGCAGCGACGCCGCGUGAGGGAUGACGGCCUUCGGGUUGUAAACCUCUUUCAGCAGGGACGAAGCGAAAGUGACGGUACCUGCAGAAGAAGCACCGGCCAACUACGUGCCAGCAGCCGCGGUAAUACGUAGGGUGCGAGCGUUGUCCGGAAUUACUGGGCGUAAAGAGCUCGUAGGCGGUUUGUCGCGUCGUCUGUGAAAACCAGGGGCUCAACCCCUGGCUUGCAGGCGAUACGGGCAGACUUGAGUACUGCAGGGGAGACUGGAAUUCCUGGUGUAGCGGUGAAAUGCGCAGAUAUCAGGAGGAACACCGGUGGCGAAGGCGGGUCUCUGGGCAGUAACUGACGCUGAGGAGCGAAAGCGUGGGUAGCGAACAGGAUUAGAUACCCUGGUAGUCCACGCCGUAAACGGUGGGUACUAGAUG